GUGCGUGCGGGGCGUGAGCGGCUGACGGGAGGGGUUAGGGGACCGUGACCGGGGAGAGGAAGUGUUUGGAGCAAGACGGAGAAAACAAACAAACAAGCAAGCGGAAAUACGUUAACGAGAGGAAGCGGCAAGAAGUGGGAGGCUGUGGUGUGCUCGGCCGAGACCUACACGCUGCCAGGUGGACGGAAUGGUUAGCAGAAUCUGCUUUUCCACAACUUCUUCAAGAGUUAAAGUUUGCGGACGGCUGCGGAAUUUUCUCAUUCUAUUCAAGAUGCGAUUUAAUAUUACGAGCCAAAGAAGGGAAAGUGUGGAGAACGAGACGCGGUAGGUAGGCGAUGACAAGCUACAUACGAAAGAUGGAAUAUAAAGGAGAAGAAGAAGGAUGGUGUAGGAAGAUGAGGUGGCUAAACGAAGAUGAACAAAAGAAAGUGAAGAAGAAAGAUCAGGCGAGGAUAAGCUAGAGAUGAAAGAGGGAAAGAAAAGGAAAAGAAGAGGAAUGGAGUAGGAAGAUGAGGUGGCUAAACGAAGAUGAACAAAAGGAACUGAAGAAGAAGAAAGAAAAGUGCUUAGGUAGGCGAGGAUAAGCUAUAGAGAUGAAAGAGGAAAAGAAAAGGAAAAGAAGAGGAAUGGAGUAGGAAGAUGAGGUGGCUAAACGAAGAUGAACAAAAGGAACUGAAGAAGAAUGAGAGAGGCGGAGAAUGCAGGCGAGGAGAAACUAUGAACGAAAGAGGGAGAGGAAAAACACGAGAAGAAGGGUGGAGAAAGAUCAAAACGAAGAUGUAGAAAAAGAAAGAGGAAGAGAAGAAGCAGG